CUAAUAAACUACUACUCAGUUCAAUUAAAUAAAUUAGAUCCAUCUUCUAAUUAACUAUCAAGGGCCAACAAUAAUCUUAUUUAACUAAGCCCACUAGAAAUAAUAAUAAGCCCAUCAGAAAUAGCUUAAGCCCAAUUAAAUAUACAAGUUUAAUAAAUAAUUAAAUCCACCAUCUUCUUCUCAAAGUUAAGAAAAUCAGAUUUCUUUCUCUCCCCGUGUUCUCUCACUCACCGCGUCUCUCUCUCCCUUCGCUCCCUUUCUCAGCCGGCAACUUCGCCGGUCCUUGCCGCCUCCGGCCGCGAGGCCGGCUCCUCAUCUUCUCCUUCCUCUCUAUUCCUUAUUUCCUUCUCUAAUUCUAAGAUUCCCAAUUUCUAGGGUUUUCUGCCUCCCUUUCCCCUCUGAAAUUCGCCCCUCCGGCGAGUGCUGCCUCUCCGUUGUCUCUGUCACGCCGCCGCCUCUUCUGACUCAGGAAUCGGUGAUUCAAGAUGGUUUGAGAUGGUUUCAUCGGCAGUUCAUCUACAGCCCAAGACUCCCUUUUAAAGACUCUGCCUUUUAUUAUUGAAUUAACUGUUGUAACUAAAUGUAUGCUGUAAGUGUUAAAGAAAAUUGAUGUUAUCUCUACUAUUCUUGAUUACUA